UGAAAGACGUUGAGUUUUACUUCCUCUAAGUUUUAUAUCCAGUUAAAGAAUUGUUGAAGAUUUUGAGGAAAGAACCCUAAUUCUGUAAGACGUCUGGAUACCAUUUGAACCCAUUUUGCCUCAGACUCUAAGGUGACUUGCUGUUCUGUAUAUCUCAGCCUUCAAGCUACAAUCUGUCUGGCUCCAAAUACUCUGACUACGCUGUGUAACAAGUUGCAAAUUGCCAACUGCAAAGUCAAUGGCACCCGAAUUGACAGCAUCAGCAAC